rnacentral:rRNA from 1 species
AUUGAACGCUGGCGGCAGGCCUAACACAUGCAAGUCGAGCGGAUGAAGGGAGCUUGCUCCUGGAUUCAGCGGCGGACGGGUGAGUAAUGCCUAGGAAUCUGCCUGGUAGUGGGGGAUAACGUCCGGAAACGGGCGCUAAUACCGCAUACGUCCUGAGGGAGAAAGUGGGGGAUCUUCGGACCUCACGCUAUCAGAUGAGCCUAGGUCGGAUUAGCUAGUUGGUGGGGUAAAGGCCUACCAAGGCGACGAUCUGUAACUGGUCUGAGAGGAUGAUCAGUCACACUGGAACUGAGACACGGUCCAGACUCCUACGGGAGGCAGCAGUGGGGAAUAUUGGACAAUGGGCGAAAGCCUGAUCCAGCCAUGCCGCGUGUGUGAAGAAGGUCCUCGGAUUGUAAAGCACUUUAAGUUGGGAGGAAGGGCAGUAAGUUAAUACCUUGCUGUUUUGACGUUACCAACAGAAUAAGCACCGGCUAACUUCGUG